UGCAGAUGAUGUGAGAAGAUUUGCUGUCUGAGUGACGGUGCGGACAUACUUAGCCACCAAGAUCGCUGAUGCG
ensembl:snoRNA SNORD24 Small nucleolar RNA SNORD24